rnacentral:lncRNA from 1 species
AUGAACAGAGAGACAGAGGAACAGAGAGACAGAGAGAGACAGAGGAACAGAGAGAGAGACAGAGGAACAGAGACAGAAGAACAGAGAGACAGAGAGAGACAGACAGACAGAGUAUCAGAGAGACAGAAGAACAGAGAGACAGAGAGACAGAGGAACAGAGAGACAGAGAGACAGAGAGAGAGACAGAUGAACAGAGAGACAGAUGAACAGAGAUACAGAGGAACAGAGACACACAGAGAGAGACAGAGGAACAGAGAGAGAGACAGAGAGAGAGACAGAGGAACAGAGAGACAGAGAGAGAGAGGAACAGAGAGAGAGAGACAGAGGAACAGAGAGAGAGAGCCAGAGGAACAGGGAGAGAGAGAGACAGAGGAACAGAGAGACAGAGAGAGAGAGACAGAGAGAGGAAGAGAGAGACAGAGGAACAGAGAGACAGAAGAACAGAGAGACAGAGGAACAGAGAGACAGAGAGAGAGACAGAGGAUCAGAGAGACAGAAGAACAGAGACAGAGGAACAGAGAGACAGAGAGACAGAGAGAGAGACAGAUGAAGAGAGAGACAGAGGAAGAGAGAGACAGGAAGAGAGAGAGACAGGAACAGAGAGACAGAGAGACAAAGAGACAGGAACAGAGAGACAGAGAGAGACAGAGAGAGACAGAUGAACAGAGAGACAGAGGAACAGAGAGACAGAGAGACAGAGGAACAGAGAGACAGAGAGAGAGACAGAGGAACAGAGAGACAGAGGAACAGAGAGACAGAGGAACAGAGAGACAGAGAGACAAAGAGACAGGAACAGAGAGACAGAGAGACAGAGGAACAGAGAGAGAGACAGAGAGAGAGACAGAGGAACAGAGAGACAGAGACAGAGAGACAGAGGAACAGAGAAUCAGAGAGACAAAGAGACAGGAACAGAGAGACACAGAGAGACAGAGGAACAGAGAGACAGAGAGACAAAGAGACAGGAACAGAGAGACAGUGAGAGACAGAGAGAGACAGAUGAACAGAGAGACAGAGGAACAGAGAGACAGAGGAACAGAGGAACAGAGAGAGAGGACCAGAGAGACAGAGGAAGAGAGACAGAGGAACAGAGAGACAGAGAGACAGAGAGACAGAGGAACAGAGAGACAGAGAGACAGAGAGACAGAGACAGAGGAACAGAGAGACAGAGGAACAGAGAGACAGAGAGACAGAGAGACAAAGAGACAGGAACAGAGAGACAGAGAGAGACAGAGGAACAGAGAGACAGAGAGAGAGAGAGAGACAGAGGAACAGAGAGAGAGACAGAGAGACAAAGAGGAAUAG